rnacentral:rRNA from 1 species
UGGGGAAUAUUGCACAAUGGGCGCAAGCCUGAUGCAGCCAUGCCGCGUGUAUGAAGAAGGCCUUCGGGUUGUAAAGUACUUUCAGUCGGGAGGAAGGUGGUAAGGUUAAUAACCUUGGCAAUUGACGUUACCGACAGAAGAAGCACCGGCUAACUCCGUGCCAGCAGCCGCGGUAAUACGGAGGGUGCAAGCGUUAAUCGGAAUUACUGGGCGUAAAGCGCACGCAGGCGGUUGAUUGAGUCAGAUGUGAAAUCCCCGGGCUCAACCUGGGAACUGCAUUCGAAACUGGCAGGCUAGAGUCUUGUAGAGGGGGGUAGAAUUCCAGGUGUAGCGGUGAAAUGCGUAGAGAUCUGGAGGAAUACCGGUGGCGAAGGCGGCCCCCUGGACAAAGACUGACGCUCAGGUGCGAAAGCGUGGGGAGCAAACAGG